rnacentral:rRNA from 1 species
CCUACGGGAGGCAGCAGUGGGGGAUUUUGCACAAUGGGGGAAACCCUGAUGCAGCGACGCCGCGUGAGUGAAGAAGUAUUUCGGUAUGUAAAGCUCUAUCAGCGGGGAAGAAAAUGACAGUACCUGACCAAGCAGCCCCGGCUAACUACGUGCCAGCAGCCGCGGUAAUACGUAGGGGGCAAGCGUUAUCCGGAUUGACUGGGUGUAACGGGAGCGUAGACGGUUAUGUAAGUCUGGAGUGAAAGCCCGGGGCCCAACCCCGGGACUGCUUUGGAAACUGUGUAACUGGAGUACAGGAGGGGCAGGCGGAAUUCCUGGUGUAGCGGUGGAAUGCGUAGAUAUCAGGAGGAACACCGGCGGCGAAGGCGGCUUGCUGGACUGAAACUGACGUUGAGGCUCGAAAGCGUGGGGAGCAAACAGGAUUAGAUACCCGUGUAGUC